rnacentral:rRNA from 1 species
UACGUAGGGUGCAGGCGUUAAUCGGAAUUACUGGGCGUAAAGCGUGCGCAGGCGGUCUCUUAAGACAGGUGUGAAAUCCCCGGGCUUAACCUGGGAACUGCGCUUGUAACUGAGAGGCUUGAGUGCGGCAGAGGGGGGUGGAAUUCCACGUGUAGCAGUGAAAUGCGUAGAGAUGUGGAGGAACACCGAUGGCGAAGGCAGCCCCCUGGGUCGACACUGACGCUCAUGCACGAAAGCGUGGGGAGCAAACAGG